rnacentral:rRNA from 1 species
AUUGAACGCUGGCGGCAUGCCUUACACAUGCAAGUCGAACGGCAGCUCGGGGGCAACCCUGGUGGCGAGUGGCGAACGGGUGAGUAAUACAUCGGAAUGUACCCAGUAGUGGGGGAUAACUAGUCGAAAGAUUAGCUAAUACCGCAUACGCACUAUGGUGGAAAGCGGGGGAUCGCAAGACCUCGCGCUAUUGGAGCAGCCGAUGUCCGAUUAGGUAGUUGGUGGGGUAAAGGCCUACCAAGCCUGCGAUCGGUAACUGGUCUGAGAGGACGACCAGUCACACUGGGACUGAGACACGGCCCAGACUCCUACGGGAGGCAGCAGUGGGGAAUUUUGGACAAUGGGGGAAACCCUGAUCCAGCAAUGCCGCGUGUGUGACGAAGGCCUCGGUUGU